rnacentral:rRNA from 1 species
CGCGUAGGUGGUUCAGUCAGUCAGAUGUGAAAGCCCCGGGCUCAACCUGGGAACUGCACCUGAUACUGCUGAGCUAGAGUACGGUAGAGGGCAGUGGAAUUUCCGGUGUAGCGGUGAAAUGCGUAGAGAUCGGAAGGAACACCAGUGGCGAAGGCGACUGCCUGGACUGAUACUGACACUGAGGUGCGAAAAGCGUGGGUAGCAAACA